rnacentral:rRNA from 1 species
UACAGAGGGGGCGAGCGUUGUUCGGAAUUACUGGGCGUAAAGGGCGCGUAGGCGGCCCGCUAAGUCGAACGUGAAAUCCCCAGGCUCAACCUGGGAACUGCGUCCGAUACUGGCAGGCUUGAAUCCGGAAGAGGCGAGUGGAAUUCCUGGUGUAGCGGUGAAAUGCGCAGAUAUCAGGAGGAACACCAAUGGCGAAGGCAGCUCGCUGGGACGACACUGACGCUGAGACGCGAAAGCGUGGGGAGCAAACAGG